AGUGAACGCUGGCGGUACGCCUAACACAUGCAAGUCGAACGGCAGCACAGUAAGAGCUUGCUCUUACGGGUGGCGAGUGGCGGACGGGUGAGGAAUACAUCGGAAUCUACUUUUUCGUGGGGGAUAACGUAGGGAAACUUACGCUAAUACCGCAUACGACCUACGGGUGAAAGCAGGGGAUCUUCGGACCUUGCGCGAUUGAAUGAGCCGAUGUCGGAUUAGCUAGUUGGCGGGGUAAAGGCCCACCAAGGCGACGAUCCGUAGCUGGUCUGAGAGGAUGAUCAGCCACACUGGAACUGAGACACGGUCCAGACUCCUACGGGAGGCAGCAGUGGGGAAUAUUGGACAAUGGGCGCAAGCCUGAUCCAGCCAUACCGCGUGGGUGAAGAAGGCCUUCGGGUUGUAAAGCCCUUUUGUUGGGAAAGAAAAGCAGCAGGUUAAUACCCCGCUGUUCUGACGGUACCCAAAGAAUAGGCACCGGCUAACUUCGUG
rnacentral:rRNA from 1 species